AAGCAUCACUAGGGGCGCUAUCGCUGAGAGACCUGACGGUCGACCCUUUGAACCUGAUGCGGUUAAUACCGCCGAAGGAAAGUGGUAAGGCUGUUUU
rfam:Acidaminococcus fermentans DSM 20731, complete genome.